CCUACGGGUGGCAGCAGUGAGGAAUAUUGGUCAAUGGGCGCAAGCCUGAACCAGCCAAGUCGCGUGAGGGAUGACGGUCCUAUGGAUUGUAAACCUCUUUUGCCGGGGAGCAAGGCCCGCCACGUGUGGCGGGAAGGAGAGUACCCGAAGACAAAGCAUCGGCUAACUCCGUGCCAGCAGCCGCGGUAAUACGGAGGAUGCGAGCGUUAUACGGAUUGAUUGGGUUUAAAGGGUGCGUAGGCGGAAGGUUAAGUCAGCGGUCAAUUGUCGGUGCUAAAUCCCGGCCUGCCGUUGAAACUGGUCUUCUUGAGUGAGCGAGAGGAAUGCGGAAUGCGUGGUGUAGCGGUGAAAUGCAUAGAUAUCACGCAGAACUCCGAUUGCGAAGGCGGCAUACCGGCGCUCAACUGACGCUGAGGCACGAAAGCGUGGGGAUCGAACAGGAUUAGAUACCCGGGUAGUC
rnacentral:rRNA from 1 species